CCUACGGGAGGCAGCAGUGAGGAAUAUUGGUCAAUGGACGAGAGUCUGAACCAGCCAAGUAGCGUGAAGGAUGACUGCCCUAUGGGUUGUAAACUUCUUUUAUAUGGGAAUAAAAUGUUCCACGUGUGGGAUUUUGUAUGUACCAUAUGAAUAAGGAUCGGCGAACUCCGUGCCAGCAGCCGCGGUUAUACGGAGGAUCCGAGCGUUAUCCGGAUUUAUUGGGUUUAAAGGGAGCGUAGGUGGAUUGUUAAGUCAGUUGUGAAAGUUUGCGGCUCAACCGUAAAAGUGCAGUUGAAACUGGCAGUCUUGAGUACAGUAGAGGUGGGCGGAAUUCGUGGUGUAGCGGUGAAAUGCUUAGAUAUCACGAAGAACUCCGAUGGCGAAGGCAGUUCACUGGACUGCAACUGACACUGAGGCUCGAAAGUGUGGGUAUCAAACAGGAUUAGAUACCCUUGUAGUC
rnacentral:rRNA from 1 species